rnacentral:rRNA from 1 species
UGGGGAAUAUUGCACAAUGGGCGCAAGCCUGAUGCAGCCAUGCCGCGUGUAUGAAGAAGGCCUUCGGGUUGUAAAGUACUUUCAGCGGGGAGGAAGGCGAUGCGGUUAAUAACCGCGUCGAUUGACGUUACCCGCAGAAGAAGCACCGGCUAACUCCGUGCCAGCAGCCGCGGUAAUACGGAGGGUGCAAGCGUUAAUCGGAAUUACUGGGCGUAAAGCGCACGCAGGCGGUCUGUCAAGUCGGAUGUGAAAUCCCCGGGCUCAACCUGGGAACUGCAACCGAAACUGGCAGGCUUGAGUCUCGUAGAGGGGGGUAGAAUUCCAGGUGUAGCGGUGAAAUGCGUAGAGAUCUGGAGGAAUACCGGUGGCGAAGGCGGCCCCCUGGACGAAGACUGACGCUCAGGUGCGAAAGCGUGGGGAGCAAACA